rnacentral:rRNA from 1 species
UACGUAGGGACCGAGCGUUGUCCGGAAUCAUUGGGCGUAAAGAGCGUGUAGGCGGCCACUUAAGUCCUGCGUGAAAUCUUGCGGCUCAACCGCAAGCGGUCGUGGGAAACUGGGUGGCUAGAGUGCGGGAGAGGGUAGUGGAAUUCCCAGUGUAGCGGUGAAAUGCGUAGAUAUUGGGAGGAACACCGGUGGCGAAGGCGGCUACCUGGACCGGAUCUGACGCUGAUGCGCGAAAGCGUGGGGAGCAAACAGG